GAAGAAAUGCGCGUGACAAUCGCAUGCGAUAUAUUGCCCAGCCCUAAUUGGACCUAGAAAACGCAUAAGAAAACAAUGUUUCAGGAUCAGUCAAAUCGCGUGAUCACAGCCAGACCGCACUGAAUUCAACAUGAAUUCAAGAGAAACCCCGAAGAACAAAGAGAGGAGCUGAUGAAAAUGUUUCUUCUGUGGAUGCAGCUGUUGGUAUUUGGUGUUUGCAGUUAUAGCACACUUUUUUUCUGAAUUAAUUGAAGGCCUAAUUUAUGCUAAACACUGUAAUGAAGAUGAAGAAAAGACCAUCAACUGCAAACCAAUGACUCAAAAAAGUACAUUAUUUUUACUCACAGUACCAACUUUGGGAAACUUGUAAAUCUGCUAAUCUGAAGUGGCUUAUAUUUGUUUUUUCUAUUUUCCAUGUUUAAUGCAAUAAUUAAUAAUAAAUUAAUUCAUAUUUUUGUUUGCACUAGAGCCCUGCGCGGGACUGAUUUCCUCAACCCGCACCCGCCCGCUCCCGCUGAAUAUCUGACCAGGACCGCCCGCUCCCGCAACCCGCGUGUUCCACUCCCGCCCGCGCCCGCAAUGUUUGUGUCCAAACCCGCCCGCUCCCGCGGACUUUCUCUCAAAGCUUUUGAAAAUAGGCCUAAACAAAUACUCUCAGACUAAAUUCGUUCAAGUUAACAUCCAGAAUAACAGACUUUAAACAUGAUUGCGUUUAAAUAAGAUGAAGUAGCCGCAAAACCAAAGCACCACACGUGAUAAAAAAACAUUGGGUAUUUUUUAUUAGCGUUAUGAAACAUUAACCGUUAAAACAAAAAUACUCCAUAUAAUUUACUGAAGGAAAAGAAUAUUGCUGACUGACUUCGGUCGCAGACUUGUGCGUCUUUCUUCCAUGAUCCGCCCACACACACACGCACACUGAAUGCCCUCUCUGACGGUGCACUAGAUAAUGCGAAAAUGCUCAAAAUAAAACGGGCGAAUUUUAAGAAUUGUUUCCAAGUGUCUGACUUGCUUUGCUUUUGUCAAGUAAAGAGCCGCUUUAAUUUUCUUCUCAUCAUCUUCAUUUGUUGACUCCGUUUCUAUUACACGCCAAAUCCCCAUUCCCCGCGGGUCUCCCGCAAAGUUUUCUGACCGCCCACUCCCGCCCGCAGCAAAGGUAAAACCGCCCGCUCCCGCGAGAUUUGCGUUGGGUCCCGCGGGUCCCGCGGGAGCCCAAACCCAAUGCAGCCCUCUAGUUUGCACUCUCACUGCAGGGAUGGACUCUGCAGUGCAGCAUUACUUCAAUAAGAUGAAAAUAACACACUCCUCUAUGAUUCACGAUGUCAAGCCCCCUGAACGCAAAGAGAGUCAUAAUCAAAAUGGACGUGCCCCUGAUAGAAAACACAGAGAUGUCAAAAGUAUCUGUUGGCUGUCUACUUUUUGUUCAAUAUGAAGAAUCCAAAAGCCACUUUCUUUCAUUCAGCACUAUUUAGCCCUUUCUCAGUACUGAAUUUGCCAUGGGUCAUUUGUUUUUAUUGUUUAAAUGCUUAUCUGCAGUUGAAGGUCUUUUCUUCAUCUUCAUUUCAUAAUGCAUCUUCAAGAACCAAAUACAGUGUUUAGCAUAAAUUAGGCCUUCAAUUAAUUCAGAAAAAAGUGUGCUAUAACUGCACACACCAAAUACUCACAGCUAUAUCCACAGAAGAAACAUCUUCAUCAUCUUGAAUUCAUGUUGAAUUCAGUGCGGUCUGGCUGUGAUCAUGUGAUUUGACUGCUCCUGAAACAAUAUGUCCUGCUCCAAUACAAUCUACAGUAAAAAGAAAAGUGUAUUAGGAUAUAACAUGAACUCUCGCCACCAUUAUUGAUCAGUCCACAACCGUUUUUAAACAGUUUUCAGGAAUUCAUGUAAGAAAUGACAAACCUCCUGGCGAGAAUAUAGCGCAGGCCCGGACAGCACCAUAAACCACAUUUCUUCUUUCUGAUUCUUGAAAAAAACAUGUAAGAUGUGUAAAUAUAUCAAGGAUUUAGCCAAAUGUAAUUAAAAUAACGUAAGAGAUAUUAAUUUUCUCACUUACCUUUGUCAUGGGUCAUUUGUUUUUAUUGUUUAAAUGCUUAUCUGAAUGUUAAAUUAUCAUUUAACGCUUAUGAAUUUAAAAACAAUUCUACUAGCUAGUCUUUUAGUUCAUUUUUUUUAGAAACAUAUUUAUGUUAACUCUUCUAACUAUUGCUCCAUGAACUGCAGUGUGUUUUAUAUUGCUUGUGUCAUUGUAAAUGCUAAUAAAAAUGUCUUAAAUGAUUACA